UACGUAGGGUGCGAGCGUUGUCCGGAAUUAUUGGGCGUAAAGAGCUCGUAGGCGGCCUGUCGCGUCGGGCUGUGAAAACCCGAGGCUCAACCUCGGCCUGCAGUCGAGUACGGGCAGGCUAGAGUCGGUAGGGGAGACUGGAAUUCCGUGGUGUAGCGGUGAAAUGCGCAGAUAUCAGGAGGAACACCGGUGGCGAAGGCGGGUCUCUGGGCCGAAACUGACGCUGAGGAGCGAAAGCGUGGGGAGCGAACGG
rnacentral:rRNA from 1 species